rnacentral:rRNA from 1 species
GAUGAACGCUGGCGGCGUGCCUAAUACAUGCAAGUCGAGCGAACAGACGAGGAGCUUGCUCCUCUGACGUUAGCGGCGGACGGGUGAGUAACACGUGUAUAACCUACCUAUAAGACUGGGAUAACUUCGGGAAACCGGAGCUAAUACCGGAUAAUAUAUUGAACCGCAUGGUUCAAUAGUGAAAGACGGUUUUGCUGUCACUUAUAGAUGGAUCCGCGCCGCAUUAGCUAGUUGGUAAGGUAACGGCUUACCAAGGCAACGAUGCGUAGCCGAGCUGAGAGGGUGAUCGGCCACCCUGGAACUGAGACACGGUCCAGACUCCUACGGGAGGCAGCAGUAGGGAAUCUUCCGCAAUGGGCGAAAGCCUGACGGAGCAACGCCGCGUGAGUGAUGAAGGUCUUCGGAUCGUAAAACUCUGUUAUUAGGGAAGAACAAAUGUGUAAGUAACUAUGCACGUCUUGACGGUACCUAAUCAGAAAGCCACGGCUAACUACGUG